UUGAACGCUGGCGGCAGGCCUAACACAUGCAAGUCGAGCGGUUGAGAGUAGCUUGCUACUUGAUGCAGCGGCGGACGGGUGAGUAACGCGUGGGAAUCUGCCCAGUAGUGGGGGACAACAGCCGGAAACGGCUGCUAAUACCGCAUACGCCCUACGGGGGAAAGGGGGGGAUCUUCGGACCUCUCGCUAUUGGAUGAGCCCGCGUCGGAUUAGCUAGUUGGUAGGGUAAAGGCCUACCAAGGCUACGAUCCGUAACUGGUCUGAGAGGAUGAUCAGUCACACUGGAACUGAGACACGGUCCAGACUCCUACGGGAGGCAGCUGUGGGGAAUAUUGGACAAUGGGGGAAACCCUGAUCCAGCCAUGCCGCGUGUGUGAAGAAGGCCUUAGGGUUGUAAAGCACUUUCAGUGGGGAGAAAGGUUUGUCACCUAAUACGUGAUGAAAUUGAUGUUACCCACAGAAGAAGCACCGGCUAACUCCGUGCCAGCAGCCGCGGUAACAC
rnacentral:rRNA from 1 species